UGGUAAUGGGACCCAGGAGAAUGGCUGCCCAGGUGGCUCUGCCCUUAAUCCCUUCUGUACUGCUGCGGCCUGAGGCCUAGUCCCAAUUACAUAAUAAGAUGAUUUAAUUUAAUUUUUUUUCUUUUGCUUUGACUCCAGCUGGGGUGUAGAAAAGAGGAAGGGUGGUUUCUCUCCCUUUUCUCAAGGAUGGAGUAGGCCUGGAGACCAUAGACUUUUGGUAGAUGCACAAUCUCUUCUAUUGAUUUUCUCCAUCUUCUUCUCAUCCAACAAAAGGACACUUUAAUUUCAAUGAGGACAAAACAACACACGGAAACUCCACUCGAGGGAAAGACCUCUUGAGGGAUGGAGGAGUCGCAGGGUAUACUAGGAGGAGCAGAUUCGGCUGGACAGUGUCUGCGCAGCUGUGGUGGUUCUGCCCAUACCCCUUUGGCACUCACCAUUCCUGUGCACACCAAUUUCUUGGCUUCCGACUAUAGGCACUCAUGACUCUUUUUCUUAGGCUUCUGGAGCCUGCCCAGCCCUGAACCAGUGACUCAUGGAGGAAGUAGAUAAAUCUCUCUGUUCCCUGCCCCUUCAUUGGAUAGAGCCCUGAGAAGUGACCCAUCCCGCAUCCCAUACUAGUCUAGAGCAGAGGUUGGCCCAAGGGCCUUAUCUGGCCUGUUUUUGGAAAUAAAGUUUUAC
rnacentral:lncRNA from 1 species